UGGGGAAUAUUGCACAAUGGAGGGAACUCUGAUGCAGCGACGCCGCGUGAACGAAGAAGGCUUUCGAGUCGUAAAGUUCUUUUAUAUGGGAAGAUAAUGACGGUACCAUAAGAAAAAGCCCCGGCUAACUACGUGCCAGCAGCCGCGGUAAUACGUAGGGGGCUAGCGUUGUCCGGAAUCACUGGGCGUAAAGGGUUCGCAGGCGGAAAUGCAAGUCAGGUGUAAAAGGCAGUAGCUUAACUACUGUAAGCAUUUGAAACUCAUAUCUUGAGAAGAGUAGAGGUAAGUGGAAUUUUUAGUGUAGCGGUGAAAUGCGUAGAUAUUAAAAAGAAUACCGGUGGCGAAGGCGACUUACUGGGCUCAUUCUGACGCUGAGGAACGAAAGCGUGGGUAGCAAACAGG
rnacentral:rRNA from 1 species